CUGUUGUUUUUUAUAAUAGAUGUUUUCUGCCCGGUGGUUGUUUAAACGGCUGCGGUAUUUUGACCGUGCAAAGGUAGCAUAAUCAUUUGUUCUUUAAUUGGGGACUGGAAUGAAUGGGAGUUCGAGGCUUUGUCUGUCUUUUUUUUAGGUUAUAAAUUGCUGUUUUUGUGAAGAAGCAGAGGUUUGAGAAAAGGACAAGAAGACCCUAUUAAGCUUUAUUCAUAAUUGUUUGCUUGUUUUCUUUUAAGUAUUCUGUAGAGAUUUGUUGAAUUUGGUUGGGGUGACUGAAGAAGAAAGGAUCUUCUUUGCUUUUUUUAACUUUUUGUUUGAUUUUGACCCAGAGUUUUUGGUUUAGAGAAUUAGUUACUGUAGGGAUAACAGCGUAAUUUCUUCUGAAAGUUCUUAUUGAAGGGGGAGAUUGCGACCUCGAUGUUGACUUAUUUUAUCCUGUUAUGGUGUAGAAGCUGUAAAGGGUUAGUCUGUUCGACUAUUAAAAUAAUACGUGAUCUG
rnacentral:rRNA from 1 species